UGGGGAAUAUUGCGCAAUGGGCGGAAGCCUGACGCAGCGACGCCGCGUGGGGGAUGACGGCCUUCGGGUUGUAAACCUCUUUCAGCAGGGACGAAGUUGACGUGUACCUGUAGAAGAAGCGCCGGCUAACUACGUGCCAGCAGCCGCGGUAAUACGUAGGGCGCAAGCGUUGUCCGGAAUUAUUGGGCGUAAAGAGCUCGUAGGUGGCUUGUCGCGUCUGCCGUGAAAGCCCGUGGCUUAACUACGGGUCUGCGGUGGAUACGGGCAGGCUAGAGGCUGGUAGGGGCAAGCGGAAUUCCUGGUGUAGCGGUGAAAUGCGCAGAUAUCAGGAGGAACACCGGUGGCGAAGGCGGCUUGCUGGGCCAGUUCUGACGCUGAGGAGCGAAAGCGUGGGGAGCGAACAG
rnacentral:rRNA from 1 species